GGCCCGCCCCCGGCACCGCCCGGGAACCGUCGAGAGGGGAACCGCCCCCGUUCCAGUCGGCCCGGGGGCCAGAACCUUGCCCCGCGGACCUUACGCGCCCGGACGCCGGCCGAGAUCUCAAGCCAAAGCCCCAUCGCAGCAGCCGUGCCUACGGUCCUAUUGACCCCACGGCGAUGGACCUGAAUUUGCAUGAAGGUUGACUCUUCACGGUCACCUAGUUUAAUCGAGGAAUCCAAAUGAAACCUCACUCAAGGAAGCCAUAAAAUUAUCUCUUGCCAUUGCAGUCCAGUGCCAACUUGAAACGUACACAGAUGCGAAUAACGCUCCGAACACGUGAGGUUUGAAAUCCCAGAGCAAGGCGCCUUUGAUACUCCCAGUGCCUGAGGUCGGCCCCCACGCCCUGUUGUGACACACAUGCCUAAGCACUACGCCUGCAACACGCUCACACUCAGGUUUUACAUACAGGCUUCUGAAGACGGUAUCUCAACUGAAAGACCAUGUGACUCUAAUUUGAGAAUUCAAACCACUUUCUGGUCAGUGGGGGAAAUAUGUGGGGAUGAAUAAGGUGUCACACAUCCCUCAAACCCUAUCAUGCAUGCCCUGCCUUCUGUCGCUAUGGAUGGAUCAGAACAUCAUCUUAUGAUAAGUUAUCAUUCCUUUGGAUGGUUUUAAAGAGAACUUAAUCUGUGGCUAAAAAUGGAGAGAUUCUAGAAUAAAAUUUUCUCAGAACUGCC